GUGCUCCACUUCCAGGACACUCCAGUAACCUCCUGAGCUUCCCCAAGCCCUCAGCACUUUGACAUGGGCUUGUCCUCCCCCCUCCCAGAAUUCCUGCUGGGAAGUCCCUGCCCAGCCCCUGCUGCUGGUGGCUCUCGGUGGCGCCGUCGUGGCCGCGGCACCCAAACGGGACAAGGGGCAAUCAACACCAAAUGGGAGAGGUUUCCAUCACCAAAGUCCUCUUCUGCCCUGCCUGCCUCUCUGGAUUGAGGCAGGGAGGUGGAACAAUGGCCUGAUCAGCCCAGUAUGGCUGAAAUUGGGAUGCAGGUUCCUCCAGGAGCAGUUAGAGCCCAGAGAACCAUCCCCAGUCCCAUUGGAUCAGUUCCUCAGUCCCAGCUGGAUCAGUUCUCCUCAGGUUCCUCCAGGAGCAGUUAGAGCCCACAGAACCAUCCCUAGUCCCAGUCAGAUUAGUUCCCCAGUCCCAGUUGGAUCAGUUCCCCAGUCCCAGCUUGAUCAGUUCUCCUCAGGUUCUCCUCAGGUUCCUUCAGGAAGAGUUAAAGCCCAUAGGAACCAUCCCCAAUCCCACUUGGAUCAGUUCCCCAGUCCCAGCUGGAUCAGUUCUCCUCAGGUUCCUCCAGGAGCAGUUAGAGCCCACAGGAACCAUCCCCAUUCCCAGCUGGAUCAGUUCUUCUCAGGUUCCUCCAGGAGCAGUUAGAGCCCACAGGAACCAUCCCCAGUCCCAUUGGAUCAGUUCUCCUCAGGUUCCUCCAGGAGCAGUUAGAGCCCACAGAACCAUCCCCAGUCCCAUUGGAUCAGUUCCCCAGUCCCAGUUGGAUCAGUUCUCCUCAGGUUCUCCUCAGGUUCCUCCAGGAGCAGUUAAAGCCCAUAGGAACCAUCCCCAGUCCCAGCUGGAUCAGUUCCCCAGUCCCAGCUGGAUCAGUUCUCCUCAGCACCAGCCCUUCCAUGGCAAAGCAGAGAGAGAGGAACUGCUGAGAACCUUCUGGUGUCCUCCAAGUGGGAGCUGUCUGCGAGUCUGUCACUUGUCCAGUCCUUCUUUUCACACAGCAGGAGCUGCAGCUUUCCAAAAAAAAAAAAAAAAAAAUUAAAACCCUGUCUUUGGAUCUGGGAAUUUUGGGCAAAAAAAUCCUUUUUUAUUUUAUUUCUUCC